AGUACUCGUGGCGUGGAUCGGAAAAGCAUGACGACUGCGAAGCAAUAUGUCGGACUCCACAAGCGACUCCUGUAACGGGGGAUACACAGGAAAGCUCUAUACGUAGAAAACCAACGAAUGACAUGACUUCCACGG